UACGAAGGGGGCUAGCGUUGCUCGGAAUUACUGGGCGUAAAGCGCGCGUAGGCGGCUAUUCAAGUCAGAGGUGAAAGCCCGGGGCUCAACCCCGGAACUGCCUUUGAAACUAGAUAGCUAGAAUCUUGGAGAGGCGAGUGGAAUUCCGAGUGUAGAGGUGAAAUUCGUAGAUAUUCGGAAGAACACCAGUGGCGAAGGCGACUUACUGGACACAUAUUGACGCUGAGGUGCGAAAGCGUGGGGAGCAAACAGG
rnacentral:rRNA from 1 species